rnacentral:rRNA from 1 species
GCGGAAACGAGUUAUCUGAACCUUCGGGGAACGAUAACGGCGUCGAGCGGCGGACGGGUGAGUAAUGCCUAGGAAAUUGCCCUGAUGUGGGGGAUAACCAUUGGAAACGAUGGCUAAUACCGCAUGAUGCCUACGGGCCAAAGAGGGGGACCUUCGGGCCUCUCGCGUCAGGAUAUGCCUAGGUGGGAUUAGCUAGUUGGUGAGGUAAGGGCUCACCAAGGCGACGAUCCCUAGCUGGUCUGAGAGGAUGAUCAGCCACACUGGAACUGAGACACGGUCCAGACUCCUACGGGAGGCAGCAGUGGGGAAUAUUGCACAAUGGGCGCAAGCCUGAUGCAGCCAUGCCGCGUGUGUGAAGAAGGCCUUCGGGUUGUAAAGCACUUUCAGUCGUGAGGAAGGUAGUGUAGUUAAUAGCUGCAUUAUUUGACGUUAGCGACAGAAGAAGCACCGGCUAACUCCGUGCCAGCAGCCGCGGUAAUACGGAGGGUGCGAGCGUUAAUCGGAAUUACUGGGCGUAAAGCGCAUGCAGGUGGUUUGUUAAGUCAGAUGUGAAAGCCCGGGGCUCAACCUCGGAAUUGCAUUUGAAACUGGCAGACUAGAGUACUGUAGAGGGGGGUAGAAUUUCAGGUGUAGCGGUGAAAUGCGUAGAGAUCUGAAGGAAUACCGGUGGCGAAGGCGGCCCCCUGGACAGAUACUGACACUCAGAUGCGAAAGCGUGGGGAGCAAACAGGAUUAGAUACCCUGGUAGUCCACGCCGUAAACGAUGUCUACUUGGAGGUUGUGGCCUUGAGCCGUGGCUUUCGGAGCUAACGCGUUAAGUAGACCGCCUGGGGAGUACGGUCGCAAGAUUAAAACUCAAAUGAAUUGACGGGGGCCCGCACAAGCGGUGGAGCAUGUGGUUUAAUUCGAUGCAACGCGAAGAACCUUACCUACUCUUGACAUCCAGAGAACUUUCCAGAGAUGGAUUGGUGCCUUCGGGAACUCUGAGACAGGUGCUGCAUGGCUGUCGUCAGCUCGUGUUGUGAAAUGUUGGGUUAAGUCCCGCAACGAGCGCAACCCUUAUCCUUGUUUGCCAGCGAGUAAUGUCGGGAACUCCAGGGAGACUGCCGGUGAUAAACCGGAGGAAGGUGGGGACGACGUCAAGUCAUCAUGGCCCUUACGAGUAGGGCUACACACGUGCUACAAUGGCGCAUACAGAGGGCGGCCAACUUGCGAAAGUGAGCGAAUCCCAAAAAGUGCGUCGUAGUCCGGAUUGGAGUCUGCAACUCGACUCCAUGAAGUCGGAAUCGCUAGUAAUCGUGGAUCAGAAUGCCACGGUGAAUACGUUCCCGGGCCUUGUACACACCGCCCGUCACACCAUGGGAGUGGGCUGCAAAAGAA